GUAGGUGGCAAGCGUUGUCCGGAAUUAUUGGGCGUAAAGCGCGCGCAGGCGGUCCUUUAAGUCUGAUGUGAAAGCCCACGGCUCAACCGUGGAGGGUCAUUGGAAACUGGGGGACUUGAGUACAGAAGAGGAAAGCGGAAUUCCAAGUGUAGCGGUGAAAUGCGUAGAGAUUUGGAGGAACACCAGUGGCGAAGGCGGCUUUCUGGUCUGUAACUGACGCUGAGGCGCGAAAGCGUGGGGAGCAAACAGGGAUUAGAUACCCUGGUAGUCCACGCCGUAAACGAUGAGUGCUAAGUGUUAGGGGGUUUCCCGCCCCUUAGUGCUGCAGCUAACGCAUUAAGCACUCCGCCUGGGGAGUACGGCCGCGAGGCUG
rnacentral:rRNA from 1 species